rnacentral:rRNA from 1 species
AGAGGGUGCUUCUGGCUCAGGACGAACGCUGGCGGCGCGCCUAACACAUGCAAGUCGAACGAGCGAGAGAGAGCUUGCUUUCUCGAGCGAGUGGCGAACGGGUGAGUAACGCGUGAGGAACCUGCCUCAAAGAGGGGGACAACAGUUGGAAACGACUGCUAAUACCGCAUAAGCCCACGGCUCGGCACCGAGCAGAGGGAAAAGGAGCAAUCCGCUUUGAGAUGGCCUCGCGUCCGAUUAGCUAGUUGGUGAGGUAACGGCCCACCAAGGCAACGAUCGGUAGCCGGACUGAGAGGUUGAACGGCCACAUUGGGACUGAGACACGGCCCAGACUCCUACGGGAGGCAGCAGUGGGGAAUAUUGCACAAUGGGGGAAACCCUGAUGCAGCGACGCCGCGUGGAGGAAGAAGGUCUUCGGAUUGUAAACUCCUGUUGUUGGGGAAGAUAAUGACGGUACCCAACAAGGAAGUGACGGCUAACUACGUGCCAGCAGCCGCGGUAAAACGUAGGUCACAAGCGUUGUCCGGAAUUACUGGGUGUAAAGGGAGCGCAGGCGGGAAGACAAGUUGGAAGUGAAAUCUAUGGGCUCAACCCAUAAACUGCUUUCAAAACUGUUUUUCUUGAGUAGUGCAGAGGUAGGCGGAAUUCCCGGUGUAGCGGUGGAAUGCGUAGAUAUCGGGAGGAACACCAGUGGCGAAGGCGGCCUACUGGGCACCAACUGACGCUGAGGCUCGAAAGUGUGGGUAGCAAACAAAGAUUAGAUACCCUGGUAGUCCCCCCCCUAAACGAAGAUUACUAGGUGUUGGAGGAUUGACCCCCUCAGUGCCGCAGUUAACACAAUAAGUAAUCCACCUGGGGAGUACGACCGCAAGGUUGAAACUCAAAGGAAAUGACGGGGGCCCGCACAAGCAGUGGAGUAUGUGGUUUAAUUUGACGCAACGCGAAGAACCUUACCAAGUCUUGACAUCCCUUGACGAUGCUGGAGACAGUAUUUCUCUUCGGAGCAAGGAGACAGGUGGUGCAUGGUUGUCGUCAGCUCGUGUCGUGAGAUGUUGGGUUAAGUCCCGCAACGAGCGCAACCCUUAUGGUCAGUUACUACGCAAGAGGACUCUGGCCAGACUGCCGUUGACAAAACGGAGGAAGGUGGGGAGGACGUCAAAUCAUCAUGCCCUUUAUGACUUGGGCUACACACGUACUACAAUGGCGUUAAACAAAGAGAAGCAAGACCGCGAGGUGGAGCAAAACUCAGAAACAACGUCCCAGUUCGGACUGCAGGCUGCAACUCGCCUGCACGAAGUCGGAAUUGCUAGUAAUCGUGGAUCAGCAUGCCACGG